rnacentral:lncRNA from 10 species
CUCUUGUGUUCCAGGAUUCAGUGAAACGGUCUCUAUUGAUAGCCAGAUCAGACUGUGAAUGAAUGACCUUUUAAAACAGCCAGGUGUUUAUCUCCCAGUGCAUCCUUCCCUCUCUUCAGGAUAAAUCUUGGACAGUUAAGCUUAUCCUCAUGAGGGAAUCCAUGUGACCAUUUUCCAGCCAUUCUGGGAGUCCUCUGAGCAGCCAGAACAGAAGCAUGGCCCAGCCUCCCCACAGCUGAGUCAGGCCCUUAUAUAAUGAGUCCUAUUGUUCCUCAAUAAAAGCAAUUUCUGUAUUUCAAGAUGUACGUCAAAGAAACAUUUAACGGCAACUCAAACACUGCAUUUUUCAAUACUGGGUUAAAUUCUUUUUUUUUUUUACAAUCAGUAAUUCAUUUACUUCACCUGUAUACCUAUCACAACAGUCAAUCCACUGUUUCAUAAUUCCUUGUUUGAUCAUCUGAUGCUCCUACUAGCCUGUGAGCUGGGGGGCCGGGAGAGAGUCUGCCUUGCUCAGUGCUUUACAUCUGCAGCCCAG